rnacentral:lncRNA from 1 species
AAAAAAAUGUAUUAAAUUUACUCUGAUUUAGAAUUUUAUUAUUUUGUUUUAAAUUGUUUUAAUCAUUCUAACCACUGCCAUGAUUUUAUGCAUUAUUUUUUUUGGAAGAAUCUAUAUACAUGAUGGCUCAUCUAAAAAGGCCAUGGGAAUAUAUGAAAAUACCUUUUGCAAUAUUGUAAACAUUUAGAGCAGCAAGAUUUGUGAAAGUUGAAUCUAUUUAUUACACACCCAGGAAUUUUUUUUUUUUUUGGGGGGGGGGGGGGGGGGGUUGGCACACUGGCCAGUUAUACAUUAGUUAUUGGAGUUAAAGUAAUAUCUCAAUAAUUUUGCUGUAAACACACAUGAUAAUUAUUUUUAUGUCCCACUUUCAGGCAAUAUGUUUUUGGUCUGUGCGUUCGUUUUUCUGCCCCCUUCAGGUUAAAGUUUUUUGGUUCAAGGUAGUUUUUUAUGAAGUUAAAGUUCAAUCAACUUGAAACUUAGUACACAUGUUCUCCAUGAUAUGAUAUUUCUAAUUUAAAUGCUAAAAAAUUAGAGUUUUUACCCCAAUUUCAUGGUCCACUCUACAUAGAAAAUGAUAGUGCGAGAGGAGCAUCUGUGUACUAUGGACACAUUCUUGUUUUAUAAGUUUUUAUAUCUGAUUUUUAAGUAUAAUAAAAUAACAGAAAUUGUAUAAAAAUAGGACAUAAUUAAGCAAAUAUUAUCACAU